CGGUGGAGCAUGUGGUUUAAUUCGAAGCAACGCGAAGAACCUUACCAGGCCUUGACAUGCAGAGAACUUUCCAGAGAUGGAUUGGUGCCUUCGGGAACUCUGACACAGGUGCUGCAUGGCUGUCGUCAGCUCGUGUCGUGAGAUGUUGGGUUAAGUCCCGUAACGAGCGCAACCCUUGUCCUUAGUUACCAGCACGUUAUGGUGGGCACUCUAAGGAGACUGCCGGUGACAAACCGGAGGAAGGUGGAGAUGACGUCAAGUCAUCAUGGCCCUUACGGCCUGGGCUACACACGUGCUACAAUGGUCGGUACAAAGGGUUGCCAAGCCGCGAGGUGGAGCUAAUCCCAUAAAACCGAUCGUAGUCCGGAUCGCAGUCUGCAACUCGACUGCGUGAAGUCGGAAUCGCUAGUAAUCGUGAAUCAGAAUGUCACGGUGAAUACGUUCCCGGGCCUU
rnacentral:rRNA from 1 species